ACUCAAAUGAAUUGACGGGGGCCCGCACAAGCGGAGGAGCAUGUGGUUUAAUUCGAUGAUACGCGCGGAACCUUACCAGGGCUUGAAAGUUAUGGAAUGACGUAGAAAUAAGUCAGUCAGCAAUGACCAGAAACUAGGUGCUGCAUGGCCGUCGUCAGCUCGUGCCGUGAGGUGUUGGGUUAAGUCCCGCAACGAGCGCAACCCCUAUCAUUAGUUGCCAACAGGUAAAGCUGGGGACUCUAAUGAGACUGCCCGCGUAAGCGGUGAGGAAGGUGGGGAUGACGUCAGGUCAUCACGGCCCUUACGUCCUGGGCUACACACGUGCUACAAUGGCAGAUACAACAGGCAGCUACACAGUAAUGUGAUGCUAAUCCCAAAAGUCUGUCUCAGUUCGGAUCGAGGUCUGCAACCCGACCUCGUGAAGCUGGAUUCGCUAGUAAUCGCAUAUCAGCCAUGAUGCGGUGAAUACGUUCCCGGGCCUUGUACACACCGCCCGU
rnacentral:rRNA from 1 species